AAUCUGAGUGAGGCUCUGGGUCCACCUCCCACCCGUGGUUUUAUUGUACCUUGUUGCUUCGGUGCGCCCGCCUCACGGCCGCCGGGGGGCUUCUGCCCCCGGGUCCGCGCGCACCGGAGACACCAUUGAACUCUGUCUGAAGAUUGCAGUCUGAGCAUAAACUAAAUAAGUUAAAACUUUCAACAACGGAUCUCUUGGUUCCGGCAUCGAUGAAGAACGCAGCGAAAUGCGAUAACUAAUGUGAAUUGCAGAAUUCAGUGAAUCAUCGAGUCUUUGAACGCACAUUGCGCCCCCUGGUAUUCCGGGGGGCAUGCCUGUCCGAGCGUCAUUGCUGCCCUCAAGCACGGCUUGUGUGUUGGGCUCCGUCCCCCCGGGGACGGGUCCGAAAGGCAGCGGCGGCACCGAGUCCGGUCCUCGAGCGUAUGGGGCUUUGUCACCCGCUCUGUAGGCCCGGCCGGCGCCAGCCGACAACCAAUCAUCCUUUUUUCAGGUUGACCUCGGAUCAGGUAGGGAUACCCGCUGAACUUAAGCAUAUCAA
rnacentral:rRNA from 1 species